GUCAAAGUCUGUUCUCUGUGCCAUGGACUUAACAUCUCUUCUCUGCUUUUCCUUUACGACAUAUCUUUUUGGAUUUGCUUCUGCUCUCGAUGAACGAAAACAAGUAGUAGAAGCUGGAGAUAAUGCACUACUGAAGUGUCGUGAUUCCAGUAUUGGCAAAGUGGAAAAGUUAUCAUGGAUCAGGAGAGAUCUGGGAACAAAUAUGCAUGUGUUCUUUUACCGAGAGAAUCGCCUCUAUGAAAACAUCCAGCAUCCAUCCUUUCGUGGCCGAGUGAAGCUGAGUGACCCACAAAUUAAACAUGGAAACGUGUCCCUUAUUCUCUACAACACCACCACUAAUGACACUGGAACAUAUGAGUGUUAUGUGAUAGGCAGUCACGCUGAACGCCGUAAGAGAGCAGUUUCUGAAGCCCAGCAUGUAGUGCAGCUGAAAGUUAAAUCUAUAAGUACGUUUGCAGAGUUCUUGAUCUUCUUUUUGUAUCUCAAAGGCAUCUUAAGCCUAUGUUAGAUAAAAUCUACAAAAUGAACCUUGUUUAAUUUUGUUUGCUUUAAAUAAAGCAAAACCCCCAAAAUUGUCAUAUCUUGGAAUCCCAUUGAGAGAACCCACAUUGUAAGAAAAACAGAAGCUUCUGUUUAUAUGAUUUUAAAUUGUUCCUUUUUUUUUUAAAGUAUCUUGUGAAGUGUUUUUAAUGUAAAUUCAGUGAUAAUGUUACAAUUUACAAACAAAAUAGAAACAAAGUGCAAAGGUAUCUAAUUAUCUUUCACUACUUCUCUUAUUAAUUGAUAAUGAUAGUAGAUAAUGUCUGACAGCAGUUUGAAGAGGAAAUGGAUUCUGUUCUGUUCUUCACUCAUCACCUACCUGACAGCUGACACCUCACACCUGUUUCUCACCUGCAGAAAACGUAAACAAGAAAAUGUUGGUUCAUACUAGCUUCCACUUGAACUGCAGAAUGUUUGAAAUGACUAAACAAAACUGGAAACAUCACAGUGAAGAUGACAGAGGAGCAGUUUGAAGAGGAAAUGGAUUCUGUUCUGUUCUUCACUCAUCACCUACCUGACAGCUGACACCUCACACCUGUUUCUCAAGUGUGCUAAUGUGCACUGAUGUUCUUACAGCCAACUAAGAGGAAAAAGCAAAUCUUUAUUGUCUCGGUUAUCACCAACAGUACUUAGUGGUGGAAUAAGUUUCUCCCUGGCUGUCAUUCUUCCCCUGAUGUGACUGUCUUUCUGCAUGAUGUGUAAGUAAUGUUGUCUUGUAAGCUUUUCAUUCUGAGAAAUUAAAAGCUAAUAACAGUUUUGUACAUUGGAUUGUGGUGUACUAUGACUUUCUUGCUGCUAUCAAUGAAACAAAAAAUGAAUCCUGCAACAACCUAUUUUAUGUGGAUUAUGUGUUUUUAUUGUUUACUAGCCAUGGUUAUUUUCUACAGAAGUGAAUAUAAAAGCCUUUGUUCCUCUUGGCUCAUUUAUUCUCUCUGGUCUGCUGUUGGAGAGUUCAUGUUAAUGCAGAUCUAAUUCCACUGGAAUCUUGAAGUUCCAGUCCCAGAGAAACCACAAGCACUGAAUAGGUUCCUAUAAUUAAGAAUGGGGAAACAUCCAUUGCUCGAAGAGGUUGGAUGUUUCCAAUCACUGAUUGAUUGGAAUUUCAAAUGCAUUUUUAAAAGUUCCACUAUUAUCUACUUUCAUGUCCUCAUUCCUUUAUGAGUCUUAUUGAAUGCAAAGUUAAAGUCAUUUGUUGGAUUGUAACUUUAAUUGACAGUGGGUAAAUCCAGGGAAUAUCCUUGGUUACUGUUAACAACUUAUUAUAAAUUAAAAGAAGGAGGGAAAAUAAAAUGGACAACUUUUAUGACAUUUUUCUGCUCUUACGUUGAGUUCGAUGAGGCAAAAAUGUU
ensembl:lncRNA